rnacentral:rRNA from 1 species
UACGUAGGGGGCUAGCGUUGUCCGGAAUCAUUGGGCGUAAAGCGCGCGUAGGCGGCCCAGUAAGUCCGUUGUAAAAGUCAAAGGCUCAACCUUUGAAAGCCGAUGGAUACUGCUGGGCUAGAGUGCGGAAGGGGCAACUGGAAUUCUUGGUGUAGCGGUGAAAUGCGUAGAUAUCAAGAGGAACACCUGCGGCGAAGGCGGGUUGCUGGGCCGACACUGACGCUGAGGUGCGAAAGCGUGGGGAGCAAACAGG